rnacentral:rRNA from 1 species
UACGUAGGGGGCAAGCGUUGUCCGGAUUUAUUGGGCGUAAAGAGCGUGUAGGCGGUUUGGUAGGUCCGCUGUGAAAACUCGAGGCUCAACCUCGAGACGUCGGCGGAAACCAUCUGGCUAGAGUCCGGAAGAGGAGAGUGGAAUUCCUGGUGUAGCGGUGAAAUGCGCAGAUAUCAGGAAGAACACCCGUGGCGAAAGCGGCUCUCUGGAACGGUACUGACGCUGAGACGCGAAAGCGUGGGGAGCGAACAGG